ACGAACGCUGGCGGCGUGCUUAACACAUGCAAGUCGAACGGAAAGGCCCUGCUUUUGUGGGGUGCUCGAGUGGCGAACGGGUGAGUAACACGUGAGUAACCUGCCCCUGACUUUGGGAUAACUUCAGGAAACUGGGGCUAAUACCGGAUAGGAGCUCCUGCUGCAUGGAGGGGGUUGGAAAGUUUCGGCGGUUGGGGAUGGACUCGCGGCUUAUCAGCUUGUUGGUGGGGUAGUGGCUUACCAAGGCUUUGACGGGUAGCCGGCCUGAGAGGGUGACCGGCCACAUUGGGACUGAGAUACGGCCCAGACUCCUACGGGAGGCAGCAGUGGGGAAUAUUGCACAAUGGGCGGAAGCCUGAUGCAGCAACGCCGCGUGCGGGAUGACGGCCUUCGGGUUGUAAACCGCUUUCGCCUGUGACGAAGCGUGAGUGACGGUAAUGGGUAAAGAAGCACCGGCUAACUACGUG
rnacentral:rRNA from 1 species